UACAGAGGGGGCAAGCGUUUGUUCGGAAUUACUGGGCGUAAAGGGCGCGUAGGCGGCCUUCUAAGUCGAACGUGAAAUCCCCGGGCUCAACCCGGGAACUGCGUCCGAUACUGGAAGGCUUGAAUCCGGGAGAGGGAUGCGGAAUUCCAGGUGUAGCGGUGAAAUGCGUAGAUAUCUGGAGGAACACCGGUGGCGAAGGCGGGUCUCUGGGCCGAUACUGACGG
rnacentral:rRNA from 1 species